rnacentral:rRNA from 1 species
CCUACGGGUGGCAGCAGUGAGGAAUAUUGGUCAAUGGGCGCGAGCCUGAACCAGCCAAGUCGCGUGAAGGAUGACUGCCCUACGGGUUGUAAACUUCUUUUAUCAGGGAAUAAAGUGAGGCACGUGUGCCUUUUUGUAUGUACUUUAUGAAUAAGGAUCGGCUAACUCCGUGCCAGCAGCCGCGGUAAUACGGAGGAUCCGAGCGUUAUCCGGAUUUAUUGGGUUUAAAGGGUGCGUAGAUGGGUUGUUAAGUCAGUUGUGAAAGUUUGGGGCUCAACCGUAAAAGUGCAAUUGAUACUGGCAGCCUUGAGUACAGGUGAGGUAGGCGGAAUUCGUGGUGUAGCGGUGAAAUGCUUAGAUAUCACGAAGAACUCCGAUUGCGAAGGCAGCAUACUAAACUGCCACUGACAUUGAUGCUCGAAAGUGUGGGUAUCAAACAGGAUUAGAUACCCGGGUAGUC